rnacentral:sRNA from 1 species
ACUUCGUAGUUCGCGUAGCGGCUCGAGCGUGGAGAUGAAGAGUUGACCUGCCAAACACAGAGUGGAAAAGUAAACAACAUCUACCUUAGCACCCAUGGCUUUCUCAGCAACUUAAAAGAUACGGGGCCUGACGAACUGAGACCAAUGCUGGCACAGAAUUUAAUGCUAAAGAGGUUUUCUGAUGCUUGGGAAAUGUGCAGGAUUCUGAAUGAUGAGGCUGCCUGGAAUGAGUUGGCCAGAGCUUGUCUACAUCACAUGGAAGUGGAGUUUGCAAUCCGUGUUUAUCGGAGAAUUGGAAAUGUUGGCAUAGUGAUGUCCUUGGAACAAAUAAAGGGAAUAGAGGACUACAAUCUUUUGGCAGGACACCUUGCCAUGUUUACCAACGAUUAUAACCUGGCUCAGGACCUGUACCUUGCAUCCAGCUGUCCUAUUGCUGCCCUGGAGAUGAGAAGGGAUUUACAGCAUUGGGACAGUGCUCUACAACUGGCAAAGCAUUUGGCCCCAGACCAG